rnacentral:rRNA from 1 species
GGCAUGGUUGUCGUCAGCUCGUGUCGUGAGAUGUUGGGUUAAGUCCCGCAACGAGCGCAACCCUUGUCUUUAGUUACCAUCAUUCAGUUGGGGACUCUAGAGAGACUGCCGGUGAUAAACCGGAGGAAGGUGGGGAUGACGUCAAAUCAUCAUGCCCCUUAUGACCUGGGCUACACACGUACUACAAUGGCGCAUACAACGAGCUGCGAGAUGGUGACAUCAAGCGAAUCUCUUAAAAUGCGUCUCAGUUCAGAUUGGAGUCUGCAACUCGACUCCAUGAAGUCGGAAUCGCUAGUAAUCGCGGAUCAGCAUGCCGCGGUGAAUACGUUCUCGGGGUUU